CUCAUUGUGCACUGGAGAAGCCUGGCACUCAGGUGUGUCUACUAUGUGAACGCUGCUCAUCCACAUUGCAGCCGCCGCCUCCUUGCCGCCCCGGAACCUGUGCUCCUGCCUGUCAGUCCACCUGGCUCAGUGGUUCUUAACAGUUCAACAGUUCUCUAUCGAAAUUGUGAAAUGUUUAGGACCACUUGACCAGGCGGGCGCUCUCUUCUCGCUGUGGACACAAUGGAGGCCCCAGCAUCAGGAGUAACAGCCGAAGAACUUCUCCACUUCUGCGAGAGGGAAGACUUGUUAAGACGUGUUAACCUAUAACUUGCCAGUUUCUUGGAAAUGCACACGAAGCAGAAUGGUAUAUUUUAACUGGUUUCACAUGGUCACAGUAGGGCUGUAUUUUGGCUGCAAAACCCCAUACAAUCCCUUACUGAAACUGGACUAGGGUUGUGUGGUGGAACUAUAUAAUUGGGUUCAGCAGACCCUUUGGGGGGGGGGGGUUGCAACCUUAAUACUGGUGCUAAUGAGGACUGGACCCGUGGAACUGAGCUUCCCAGGUACAUGGAAGGGUUGUAUGACAUUGGGAAAAAAACAGCGCCACUCUUGUCUUCAGGUUCUGUUUAGUAUUGCAGGUCAGCCUGUUUUCAGCUACUCUCAUAAACCCCUUUAAUACUGUAGAUACUUAGAGACUUAUUUUACCAUAUUGCACUGAUAGUUAAAGGGUUGUCCAGUAUUAAGAAAACAUGUCUGCUUUCUUCCAAAAACAGCGCUACCCCUGUCCACAGGUUAUGUAUUGUAUUGCACCUAUGUCAAAUUGAAGUUGUAAUACCACAUACACCGUGUGAACAGGUGUAGCACUGUUGCUGGAAGGCAGCCAUGUUUUUCUAAUUCUGCACAAACGCUUUAAGGAUGCUUAGGGGGAUGGCGAGAUCUAAUACAGAGUACGUCUUCUACAUGAUAAGAUUAGACCAAUGGGGGCGCGUGUGUCUUUGUUAUUUUACACAUUAUAGGUUUUGUUUUAAUAUUACAUGCUGUUUCAGAGCAGAUCCACUUACAAGGCAAUUUUGGAUUUGACAUUUGCUACAAAGAGACCCGUACCGCAGCUCUCACUACACCGCGUCCAGCAAUCCCAGCAAGCACGUGGAUUUCUGCUCUCCAUAAGGAGAUAUUGUAUUUCCCAAAUGCAAGCCCCAUUCACAGGAAUGGGAAAAGUUGCACCCUAAAGUGAAAUCAGAUUAAGUACAGAUGUAGCAGAGCUGACUUUGUCAUUUAGCUUUCUUCUGUAAACUGUUAUAACUCACCAAGUUUAAGACGGCAGAUACAAACUGUAAUGCAACUGAUGAGCUGUGCCACAAGACAAACUCAUCUUCGAUACAUCUGUAUAUCAUAUAUUAAUAAAAUCGGAUUUACUGUUAAUGCCUAGAUACACAUCUCUGGAAGGUCAGUUUAUAUCAAAAUUUUGUUAAUUGCAUUAUUGAAUAAUGAGAAUCAAUUAGAUGAUGUAAAUGUGUAAUUCCAGUUGUGUAGCAGUGUCUGCUCACUACCAGUGUGAGCCAUUGCACUCACAUCCCAGUAAUGCAUCACUAUUAGUGUCCAUGUCAGGCUUCCCAGUAACCUCAUGUUUUUUCAUAAAUUAUUUUCUUAAAGGGACCCUUUUUACAUUACAAAAACUUUUUUCUUCCAGAUACAGCACAACUAUAGGCAGUGUGUGGUAUUGCAGCUCACUUCAGACAAGUCAAUUUUGCUAUCCCAAACUCAGCCAAUGAACAGAUGUGCCCCUAUGUCUGUAAGAAAGCAGCCAUGGUUUUCGAACUUCAUAUAACCCCUUCAGUACAUAAUUAGUUGAUUGACAGAAUAAUACUAUAUAAUGCCAAAAUAGUAACCAAAAAAAUAUACAGCUAGUGUAGUACCACUUAUUGCCAGCAGAAGGUGUCAUUCCUCUGUCUUAUUACUCUGUGAGAGCUCUCCAUCUGCUGGUAAUAAGUGGUACUGCGCCAGCUAUGAGUUAGUUAUUUAUGAUGUGGUAUUCUCCUCUUUAUGACUGUGUUGCAUUAACUAUUCACAUCAAUAACGCAAUAAGUUUACUUACAUUCCUGUGUUGGGAUGACUUGUGCCAAAUGACAAACUCAGCAGAUCGGCAUCCUGUAGAAUAUUCCUAUACAGGUCUAUCUAUUCUGCUUUUCUUCACAGCUUCAAACCUAAGAAUAUUGAAAAAUACGUUAUCUAUAUUUAAGUAAGAUAAGAGCGUACAGUGAUAAAUUGAAAUCCGUUUUAGAAGAGGUGACAGUUUCUUCACAUGAGCGCCCAGUGUUACCUCUAGUGCUUGCAUUUCCAAGAACUCUUGGCCAUAUUAUGCUCUGUCAAUGCACGUAUUUCUACGCCACUGCAAUGUUUUGUCCUCUUUUCUAAAAUAAAAUUUCAUGUAAAUUUUCUAUUGGA